GUAGCGGAACGAGUUAUCUGAACCUUCGGGGAACGAUAACGGCGAGCUGCGGCGGACGGGUGAGUAAUGCCUAGGAAAUUGCCCUGAUGUGGGGGAUAACCAUUGGAAACGAUGGCUAAUACCGCAUAAUGCCUACGGGCCAAAGAGGGGGACCUUCGGGCCUCUCGCGUCAGGAUCGUACUAGGUGGGAUUAGCUAGUUGGUGAGGUAAGGGCUCACCAAGGCGACGAUCCCUAGCUGGUCUGAGAGGAUGAUCAGCCACACUGGAACUGAGACACGGUCCAGACUCCUACGGGAGGCAGCAGUGGGGAAUAUUGCACAAUGGGCGCAAGCAGUCUGCAGCCAUGCCGCGUGUGUGAAGAAGGCCUUCGGGUUGUAAAGCACUUUCAGUCGUGAGGAAGGUAGUGUAGUUAAUAGCUGCAUUAUUUGACGUUAGC
rnacentral:rRNA from 1 species